GGAUCCAUAGCUCAGUCUGGUUAGAGCACUGGCCUUUUAAGCCAGGUGUCGGGGGUUCAAAUCCCUCUGGGUCCA
rfam:Candidatus Pacearchaeota archaeon CG1_02_32_21 cg1_0.2_scaffold_1504_c, whole genome shotgun sequence.